CAAAACAAAAUUAUUCACAGAGCCACACCACUGUAGCACAGCUAGGUUCAUCUAUAUCAGAAGCAAACAACCAGCCAAGUGGAUCAAAAAGCAUUUUUUUUCCUUUUCUUUUAUAGGUAAUUAUUACAAAACUCCUCAAACCCACAUGAACCACAAGUUCAUUGAUUUUUAAGUAAAACACCAUCCUAUAGCAUAUGUCAUGUUUGUCUUGCAUAAGAUCUGACCCUAAAAGGGCAAAGGCUGGUGUCUGUGUGUUUUUGUGUGUCUCCAUGAGGAGAGGGAAGAAUGGCAAGAAGAAGAUGGGUAAUUUCUCCUCCAAACACACGCUAAUAUUUUCCCAGGCAUUUCCUAUUUUCCCUCUUUCCAUCUCUUGGAUUCCAAGUCAGUGAAGCAUAUUUUUUAUCUAAUAUUUUAAAUUCCUAUAGGUAAUUAAUAUGCCUUACGUGAGAAAAUACUAUUCGUUGGAAAGGUUAAAACUAGUAAAACAAAAUGUUGGGGGUGUUACUUAAAGUCAUUUCAAUCAAGCAACUCAUGAAAUCUGUUUCCUAGGUGUGGGUCAUAUUUUACAUGCAAAAGAAAGGAUAUAAAAUUGGGGUUUGUUAGUAUGGUACUUUUACAGUAAAUAUCUCUGCCUCACACAAUAAGUGGAAGUUAUGAGAAAUCAGAACACAUUUUACUAUCUGCACAAGGCUGACCUAGUAAUCAGAUUUCAGGUCAGGCAGAUGUUUCAAAAAUUCCAUAUGAGCAGGAGUAUGUUUUAUUCCAGUUAUGGGUGAAAAAAACUAAGGGCUUUCUUUUGGGUAUUGAACAGCUUUAAGAAUCUAAUGAGAGAGCUAUGGUAUCUUUAUACCAAAAGAAAAAAAAAUAGACAUGCCUAAAAUUUUGCACACAAUUUCAUGAAAUCCAUCAAGCUCUGAAAGCUGUUCAUAACUCUAGUUUAACACUCCUUUUUCAAGGGUUAAAUAGAAUGAACAAUGUAUACAACUCAGGACACCAUUUACAAUGGUCCUGUGUCUGUCAUAUUUUUUAACUUAAUAAGGACCACAAUUCUUCAUAGAUAAUAAUUCA
rnacentral:lncRNA from 1 species